UAUGGCAUACCCAUUCCAAUUAGGCUUUCAAGAUGCAACAUCACCUGUGAUAGAACUUCUACACUUCCAUGAUUACACUUUAAUCAUCAUUUUCUUAAUUAGCUCUUCAGUCCUUUGUAUCAUUUCAUUAAUAGUAACAACUAAACUAGCCCACAUGAGUACUGUAGAUACUCAAGAAGUAAAAACUGCAUGAACUACCCUACUGAUAUUUUAAUCCUAACUGCUUUACCACCUUUACAAAUCCUAU
rnacentral:lncRNA from 1 species